UGUAUAUAAAAAUGUUAUGCAUAUCAUCAUAUGAAAUAAAUGCUGUCCAACUACAUUUCGAGCUAAAGUUCCAACAUGACUAACUAAAUGAACAAUUCGAUCCAAUCUGUAAUAAUACUAUUAUAUUAUCAUUUUUAUUGGACGUCUCUAACAUGAGCAUCUCAUAAUUAAAAAGGGAGAAUUAAGAAAGAGUUCUUUUAAAAAAAGAAAAGCUCAUAAGAAUCUCUAUGAGAGUGGUUCAAAAAUAAAUUCUUCUAUAGUUAAUCAAUAACUAAAUUAUCAUAUACUUUGGUUGGAAUUCAUACAAGUUAAUAAGGGGAUGGAGAUGCUUUUGUUAUUAGAAGCGUUUUAAGAUGUGAGAAUUCCAGAUAGAAUCUGGACGUCAGCAAUGACCACAUGACAUGUGAGUUUAUUUUAUGUCAACAAGCAGUGUAAAAAAUUAGCAAAAAAGGCUGGACUUGUCGACAGUCCUUUUUCUUUUCGUGUUAUUUAAUACCACAGUUAAGAUUCGCAGACCAAAAUAAAUGAUAGGGAAAUUGCAGUAUGAUAACUAUGAAAACUUAUUUAAUUAGGCAGCUGGAUAUUGUACUGUUCAAUUUUUCAUAAUGGCGACGUUGUCCCUAUGUAGCCGGUCACAUAUAUUAGAAAGAGAAUAGUCUAACACAAACACGUUUGUGCAUUAAUUUUGAAAAGACGUUUUGCAGCAAACAAGAGUUUUCAUCUGUUUAAUGUUUAUCUUUCUAUCACUCGUUCUUUAAUCUUCCUAACAUUUUCUCAAUUAGUUUUCAAUCUCAGAUUUUACAUGAUUUCCUCUUCUUGUUUUUCGAAUCUUAUAUAUUUUAUCUUGGUGUUUCAUCUCUUCUUGUUCUCUGUUUAUUUAAGAAAAAACUCAGAUCUAAAUAAAUUUGAAUUCCAUGGCUAACCAGAGCUGGAGAUGGCAGAGGAGGAGGCAACGUGUCUCUGAGGCGACGGUGGUAUCAGAGCUAAGCAAAUCUGAUCUGAGAAAAUAAUGAUGAAACGGGAAGGAGAAAUGGUGGUGUGACGUCAAGCGUGGUGCAGUGAUGAGAAUCUGAAGUUAAGAAGUUAGAGAAGAAGAUAUGUCGGAAUCUAUGGAACAUACUUCCCUUACUGCUACUACCAUUUCAACACUGCUCGAAAUCUUAUGUGGCUGUUCUUACUAGUUUCGGGAGACGGCAGAGGGCUCAUAAGGGAUGGCGGUUCCCUGUGCUUCUUCUCCAUCAGAUCUGGUUUCAUCUCUCAGCGCCUUGGUGGAAGGUAAUACGUGGUGGUUCAGACCUUGAGCAGCGUGAGAUUUCAACCUCUUUGCGGCGGUGAGGGUUCGUGGAGUCGGUUCGUUUGUAUCCGGCGAAUUGGAGCCUCGGGACAACUCCGUGGAUGGCAGAUUUGAAGGUUUCAUUGGUGGAUCUGUGUAGGGCAUGAACACCCCCGCCAGAGAUACUUCGGAAUCGGAUAAGCCCGCCGUCGGUGUUCACCAGAGGAGCUCGUUCCCCUUGUCUUCUCACCUUCAACCUCUCUCUGUUUUGCUUAGAUUAGGUAUAGAUGUUCUCUGCUUGUUUUCUGUAACCUAACGUUGUUGUUUUGCCGUGGUUGUAACUGUUCCUAUGCUUUUUGGGGUUGAUAAUUAAUGCAAUUUUAUUUUU